rnacentral:misc_RNA from 1 species
GCCAGAUCACAUCAAACCAGUCGUUAAUCAGAUUCCCAGUUUACAUCAACAAUCCAUACCCUGGUUCACUUCAUGCUUGUAAAUAUGCUUAACGAGUCCAAAAUAGCUUAAUAAUUUAUACACAUAAUGAUGGUGGAAAAAUGAUUGCAGCAAAAUCAAAUGUGUAGCCAUCAUAAGAGAAAUUACAAUGAUGAUUAGUUGAAAGCAGUCACACCUGGGUCUAUGCGUGUAGCCUCAUGAUAUAGUUUCACUCAACUUUACGACUUCGUUUAGCAACCGGCUGACAGAGGCCUUUAUCUCAUCUGGCACUGGCAACUCUGGAUGCACUUCCUCCAAAGCAUAUAAAGUGAUGACCCGCAUUACAACAGCUAAAUUCAAAGUCUUGUAAUCACCUUUCCAUACACUCUGAUUCACGAACUUACAUGAAUCUUUCAAGACACAUUUACCACAUACAGUGUCCUCUUUAAUUUCAAAAUAAUUGCGCAAUCUUUUAGCAGAGAAAACAUUCUUUUUUGUAAGCGAGGGACAACCAAAGAGGGCCAACUUUUUCAAGUCACUGCCUGACAACCAUUUAGCAAUUUCUUGCUGAUCCUGGCCAAACUUCUCUGCAGCAUACUUGAUAUAAUCCCUACCAUAGCUAUCAUAAAAGCAACUAAAAUCUAGCUCACCCCUUCUCAAAAAAUUAGCAUCCUUAAAAUAACCAUGCUGGUACAAAUGGUUCACUAACAUUUUCAUAUCCGGCGAAAACUCCUUAAAAACCCUGGGUCCUUCCGACUCCCUUCUCUGCGUUUCCAUUUUCUCUCCACGUUUCUCUCCUGUAAACAUCGCAUACAAACUCUUGCGUUUCCCUGUUUCAAUUUUCUUUACAUCCCGAUUUCCUUCGUCAUUCUUCGAAUCUGCUUCUCUUAAAUCCCUCACUUCUCUCUCUAGCUCCAAUAAUUUCUUCUUCACCCCAUUGCUUUGGCUUUCAUUUUCGAUGUCCGGUUCCGUUUUUUCACAUAGACCGACUGCUUCUUGGAAUACAAGGCUAAGCUUUUUGUUUUGUUCAGUUUGAGUAUCGGGUUCGAGUUGGGGAGAGGAGGAAGUAGCAAGGGUUCUGCAGAUAGCAAAUCGGAAAGGGGAGGAGAAAGGUUUGCGAGAGUUGAAGAGAGGGUUUUGGGGACUGAGAAGGAGGGCUCUGAAGAGAGACAUCGCAUUAAGGAUGAUUUGGGUGCUUUAGGGAGUUGAGGAUUUAGGGUGGGUUUUAGAGAAGGUGAAAAGUGAGGCAUUGAAGAAACGAGAGCUGCAGCGAACAAAUCAGGG